rnacentral:rRNA from 1 species
AGCCGGCGCCAAGGAGGGCGCGCCGAAGGGGGGGGAACGGCCCACCAAGCCGACGGACGGGGGGGAGCAAGAGCCCGGAGAGGACGAGACAGAACCAGGCCCACGGGGCGCAGCAGGCGCGAAAACACAAGCGAGCAACGGAAAGGAAACCCGAGGCCGACGCAGGCGCGAGCAAAACACACAGGAGAAAGGGCGGGGCAAGACCGGGCCAGCCGCCGCGGAAACCGGCGCCGAGGAAGCCACACGGGCAAAGCGCGAGCGGCGAAGCCGGGGAAACAGGCCAACCAAAAGGCGCCAGGGAAACGGCGGCCAGGAACCGGGAGAGGAAGACGACCGGGGGAGGAGGAAACGAACCCCGAGGGACGACCGAGGCGAAGGCACACCAGAACGGCCGACAGGAGGGACGAAAGCGGGGGAGCAAACCGGAAGAACCCGGGAGCCCAGCCGAAACGAGGCGAGGGGCAGCGACCACGAGCGCGAGGGCCGAAGGGAAACCGGAAACGCACCGCCGGGAAGACG